AUCUAACCCUGAAAAUAAACUGGCCACAGUUUAUGAUUAGUAACAGCUACCAGCACCUAUGAAAGCGUUUAUCAUAAACCACCGUGCUGUGCGAUCAUUUUGUUUACGUUAUUUGGCUUCAUCUCUUGACAACCCUGAGUUCAGUUUUUAUCUGAUUAGCCCGUUUUAAACAGAAGGAACCCAAUGCUGGGCGACAGUUGACCGAGGUCACACAGCUGGAAGCAGGGACCAUGGAAUCGCCACCCACAGCUGUCCAUCCAGGAAAACACUGCAUGGAGAAACGGGGUGGCAGGGAAAAGCAUCUCACUCUGAAUCACUCGGGCCUGGGCCAGUCCUAAGCCAGAUUGCAGCACCCCUUUUUGGUAGCUCAAGAAGAUGCUUGCCUUGUUAAGCCCUGCCCGGCUGUGCCACCUCCUGGUUUCCUAUCGCAGGGGAAGGACUACUGAGUGUCUAAUGUCUUAUUUGGGUUCCCCCAGCAGUGAACCCUAAGGUAAGAUCUAGGGAGGCAACAGCAGCCUGGAAAGGAAGAGAGAAUUCAACUCCUAAGCACCCCACAGGACAGAAGUUUGAGGACAGCACAGAUGGUUUGGCCAGGCCCGUGGAUUGUGGAGAAAUGAGCACUCGGGGACAGCCAGGAGGCAGAGGCAAGCGGAGGUCACGAUGUCAGCUUGCAGGGAGAAGGGUGAGGGAUGAGUUAAUAUCUUUCCUUUGUACAUUUCUUUAUUGUUUGAAUUUGAUAACGGUCAUAUUUA